rnacentral:rRNA from 1 species
AGAGAAAGCGGGGGGCAGGCUUAACACAUGCAAGUCGAGCGGGCAUCUUCGGAUGUCAGCGGCAGACGGGUGAGUAACACGUGGGAACGUACCCUUCGGUUCGGAACAACUCUGGGAAACUGGAGCUAAUACCGGAUACGCCCUUAUGGGGAAAGGUUUACUGCCGAAGGAUCGGCCCGCGUCUGAUUAGCUAGUUGGUGGGGUAACGGCCUACCAAGGCGACGAUCAGUAGCUGGUCUGAGAGGAUGAUCAGCCACACUGGGACUGAGACACGGCCCAGACUCCUACGGGAGGCAGCAGUGGGGAAUAUUGGACAAUGGGCGCAAGCCUGAUCCAGCCAUGCCGCGUGAGUGAUGAAGGCCUUAGGGUUGUAAAGCUCUUUUGUCCGGGACGAUAAUGACGGUACCGGAAGAAUAAGCCCCGGCUAACUUCGUG